rnacentral:rRNA from 1 species
GAUGAACGCUGGCGGCGUGCUUAACACAUGCAAGUCGAACGAAGAUGCCGGAGUGCUUGCACUUUGGCAGACUGAGUGGCGGACGGGUGAGUAACGCGUGGGUAACCUGCCUUAUACAGGGGGAUAACAGUUGGAAACGACUGCUAAUACCGCAUAAGCGCACGGUAUCGCAUGAUACAGUGUGAAAAACUCCGGUGGUAUAAGAUGGACCCGCGUCUGAUUAGCUAGUUGGUGAGGUAACGGCCCACCAAGGCGACGAUCAGUAGCCGGCCUGAGAGGGUGAACGGCCACAUUGGGACUGAGACACGGCCCAAACUCCUACGGGAGCAGCAGUGGGGAAUAUUGCACAAUGGGGAAACCCUGAUGCAGCGACGCCGCGUGAGUGAUGAGUAUUCGGUAUGUAAAACUCUAUCAGCAGGGAAGAUAAUGACGGUACCUGACUAAGAAGCACCGGCUAAAUACGUGCCAGCAGCCG